GACGAACGCUGGCGGCGUGCUUAACACAUGCAAGUCGAACGGAAAGGCCCUGCUUGCAGGGUACUCGAGUGGCGAACGGGUGAGUAACACGUGGGUGAUCUGCCCUGCACUUCGGGAUAAGCCUGGGAAACUGGGUCUACUACCGGAUAGGAGCCAUUUUUAGUGUGAUGGUUGGAAAGUUUUUUCGGUGUAGGAUGAGCUCGCGGCCUAUCAGCUUGUUGGUGGGGUAAUGGCCUACCAAGGCGGCGACGGGUAGCCGGCCUGAGAGGGUGGACGGCCACAUUGGGACUGAGAUACGGCCCAGACUCCUACGGGAGGCAGCAGUGGGGAAUAUUGCACAAUGGGCGGAAGCCUGAUGCAGCGACGCCGCGUGGGGGAUGACGGCCUUCGGGUUGUAAACUCCUUUCGCUUGGGACGAAGCUUUUUGGGCGGGUACCGAGAUAAGAAGCACCGGUUACUUACGU
rnacentral:rRNA from 1 species